rnacentral:rRNA from 1 species
AUUGAACGCUGGCGGCAGGCCUAACACAUGCAAGUCGAGCGGAUGACGGGAGCUUGCUCCUUGAUUCAGCGGCGGACGGGUGAGUAAUGCCUAGGAAUCUGCCUGGUAGUGGGGGACAACGUUUCGAAAGGAACGCUAAUACCGCAUACGUCCUACGGGAGAAAGCAGGGGACCUUCGGGCCUUGCGCUAUCAGAUGAGCCUAGGUCGGAUUAGCUAGUAGGUGAGGUAAUGGCGCACCUAGGCGACGAUCCGUAACUGGUCUGGGAGGAUGAUCGGUCACACUGGAACGGAGACACGGUCCAGACGCCUACGGGAGGCAGCAGUGGGGAAUAUUGGACAAUGGGCGAAAGCCUGAUCCAGCCAUGCCGCGUGUGUGAAGAAGGUCUUCGGAUUGUAAAGCACUUUAAGUUGGGAGGAAGGGCAGUAAGCUAAUACCUUGCUGUUUUGACGUUACCGACAGAAUAAGCACCGGCUAACCCUGUGCCAGCCGCCGCGGUAACAC